rnacentral:rRNA from 1 species
GAUUCCCCUAGUAACGGCGAGUGAAGCGGGAUGAGCCCAGCACCGAAUCCCCAGUCUCCGAGGCUGCGGGACCUGUGGUGUUUAGGAGAGCCUCUGGUGUGUGCGACUGGCGUCCGAGUCCUCCUGAUUGGGGCUUCACCCAGAGCGGGUGUCAGGCCUCUACGGCCCCGGUCGUCGCAUCUCUGAGCCUCCUCGGAGUCGGGUUGUUUGAGAACAGCCCAAAGGGGUGGUAACUCCAUCUAAGGCAAAUACUGACACGAGUCCGAUAGCGGACAAGUACCGUGAGGGAAAGUUGAAAAGAACUUGAAGAGAGAGUUCAAGAGUACGUGAAACCGUUUAGAGGCAAACGGAUAGGACCGCAAAGUCUACCCGUGAUAUUCAACUUGCUGAGGCGUUCGGGCGGUGGUUCCGGGAUCCCUAGGACUCGGGCUGUCGUCUGGGGCGUCCGGCGGGCGCACUUAUCGCGGGGAGAGCGCCACGACCGGUUUUCCGGCCGUCAAGAGCCCCGGUGGAAGGUAGCCCUACUCCGGUAGGGUGUUAUAGACACUGGUGGUGGGCCGGUUGGAGGACCGAGGAUCUUUGCCGUCGUAGGGGCGUUGGGUGGCUUGUGUCCGUUCGACUGGGAAGGACUGCUUGCAGUGCUUUCCGACCGCGGGUGUUUUCUUGCCCGGCUUCCCCCUGCGACCUUUAGGGUCAGUGGCGAAUCGGUCGGCACCCUAUCCGACCCGUCUUGAAACACGGACCAGGAGUCUACAUGUGCGCGAGUCAGGGGGUCUUCGAAACCUAAGGGCCAAUGAAAGUGAAGGCCUUCCUUAGGUGGGCUUAGGGGGAUCCUGUCCUUCGGGGCGGGCGCACCACUGGCCCGUCUCUAUCGUAACCGAUGAGGCGAGC